rnacentral:rRNA from 1 species
AUUGAACGCUGGCGGCAGGCCUAACACAUGCAAGUCGAACGGUAACAGGAAACAGCUUGCUGUUUCGCUGACGAGUGGCGGUCGGGUGAGUAAUGUCUGGGAAACUGCCUGAUGGAGGGGGAUAACUACUGGAAACGGUAGCUAAUACCGCAUAACGUCGCAAGACCAAAGAGGGGGACCUUCGGGCCUCUUGCCAUCGGAUGUGCCCAGAUGGGAUUAGCUAGUAGGUGGGGUAACGGCUCACCUAGGCGACGAUCCCUAGCUGGUCUGAGAGGAUGACCAGCCACACGGGAACUUAGACACGGUCCAGACUCCUACGGGAGGCAGCAGUGGGGAAUAUUGCACAAUGGGCGCAAGCCUGAUGCAGCCAUGCCGCGUGUAUGAAGAAGGCCUUCGGGUUGUAAAGUACUUUCAGCGGGGAGGAAGGGAGUAAAGUCAAUACCUUUGCUCAUUGACGUUACCCGCAGAAGAAGCACCGGCUAACUCCGUGCCAGCAGCCGCAGUAA